GACGAACGCUGGCGGCGUGCCUAAUACAUGCAAGUAGAACGCUGAAACUUGGUUCUUGCACCGAGCGGGUGAGUUGCGAACGGGUGAGUCACGCGUAGGUAACCUGCCUGGUAGCGGGGGAUAACUAUUGGAAACGAUAGCUAAUACCGCAUAAGAUUAGAUUUUGCAUGACAUUUGCUUAAAAGGUGCAAUUGCACCACUACCAGGUGGACCUGCGUUGUAUUAGCUAGUUGGUGGGGUAACGGCUCACCAAGGCGAGGAUACAUAGCCGAACUGAGAGGGUGGGCGGCCACACUGGGAGGGAGACACGGCCCAGAGGGCCACGGGAGGGAGCAGGAGGGAAUCGUCGGCAAUGGACGGAAGUCUGACCGAGAAGCGCGGAGUGAGUGAAGAAGGUUGUCGGAUCGGAAAGAUCGGUUGUAAGAGAAGAACGAGGGUGAGAGUGGAAAGAUCACAGUGUGACGGUAUCUGAUCAGAAAGCGACGGCUAACUACGUG
rnacentral:rRNA from 1 species